CUGAGUACGGCGGAACACGUGAAAUUCCGUCGGAAUCCGGGAGGACCAUCUCCCAAGGCUAAAUACUCCCUAGUGACCGAUAGUGAACCAGUACCGUGAGGGAAAGGUGAAAAGCACCCCGGAAGGGGAGUGAAACAGUUCCUGAAACCGUGUGCCUACAAGUAGUUAGAGCCCGUUAAUGGGUGAUAGCGUGCCUUUUGUAGAAUGAACCGGCGAGUUACGAUUUGUUGCAAGGUUAAGCGGAAAAAGCGGAGCCGUAGCGAAAGCGAGUCUGAAUAGGGCGCAUAAGUAACAGGUCGUAGACCCGAAACCAGGUGAUCUACCCAUGUCCAGGAUGAAGGUAAGGUAAUACUUACUGGAGGUCCGAACCCACGCACGUUGAAAAGUGCGGGGAUGAGGUGUGGGUAGCGGAGAAAUUCCAAUCGAACUUGGAGAUAGCUGGUUCUCUCCGAAAUAGCUUUAGGGCUAGCCUCGAGGUAAAGAGUCAUGGAGGUAGAGCACUGUUUGGACUAGGGGCCCUUCUCGGGUUACCGAAUUCAGAUAAACUCCGAAUGCCAUGUACUUAUACUCGGGAGUCAGACUGCGAGUGAUAAGAUCCGUAGUCGAAAGGGAAACAGCCCAGACCACCAGUUAAGGUCCCCAAAUAUAUGUUAAGUGGAAAAGGAUGUGGGGUUGCUUAGACAACCAGGAUGUUGGCUUAGAAGCAGCCACCAUUGAAAGAGUGCGUAAUAGCUCACUGGUCGAGUGACCCCGCGCCGAAAAUGUACCGGGGCUAAACAUAUUACCGAAACUGUGGAUGAACCUCUUUAGAGGUUCGUGGUAGGAGAGCGUUCUAAGGGCGGUGAAGUCAGACCGGAAGGACUGGUGGAGCGCUUAGAAGUGAGAAUGCCGGUAUGAGUAGCGAAAGAAGGGUGAGAAUCCCUUCCACCGAAUAUCUAAGGUUUCCUGAGGAAGGCUCGUCCGCUCAGGGUUAGUCGGGACCUAAGCCGAGGCCGAUAGGCGUAGGCGAUGGACAACAGGUAGAGAUUCCUGUACCAGUGCUAAUUGUUUAACCGAUGGGGUGACACAGAAGGAUAGGGAAUCGCACGAAUGGAAAUGUGCGUCCAAGCAGUGAGUGUGAGAAGUAGGCAAAUCCGCUUCUCGCG
rnacentral:rRNA from 1 species